GAAAUGCGAUAAGUAAUGUGAAUUGCAGAAUUCAGUGAAUCAUCGAAUCUUUGAACGCACAUUGCGCCCGCCAGUAUUCUGGCGGGCAUGCCUGUCCGAGCGUCAUUUCAACCAUCAAGCCCCCGGGCUUGUGUUGGGGACCUGCGGCUGCCCGCAGGCCCUGAAAACCAGUGGCGGGCUCUCUGUCACACCGAGCGUAGUAGCAAUCACCUCGCUCAGGGCGUGCUGCGGGUUCCGGCCGUUAAACAGCCUUACAAAACCCAAGGUUGACCUCGGAUCAGGUAGGAAGACCCGCUGAACUUAAGC
rnacentral:misc_RNA from 1 species